UUGAUCACAUGGUGGCACAAACACUUCUAGGAUUGAGUGCAGUGAGCUCUGGAGUGGAGAGGCAGCCUAGUGUGCUGGCAAAAGGAGAGGGAGUGGAGAGUCUGGCUAUUUCUUCCAGCCAGGAAAAAGGAGAGGAUAAGAGUGACCCUUUAGUAAGGGUAAGUGAGGGAGAGGUAAGUGGUGUGGUGAGCCAAAGGGAGCCCUUGAUGCAAGAAAAGAGAGAAAUUGAGAGAAAUGCAGGUGUCA
rnacentral:lncRNA from 1 species